rnacentral:lncRNA from 1 species
AUGAUGCAAUUUUUACCCUCACAGGCCUGUUUCCCAGACUGGAGGGCUGAGGACUUCACUGGUGUGGUGGUAGCAGCUGUUUGUUGUCAAUGCCUCUCCAGUGGCACUGAGUACUCCAAAGAAUUUUUACCCUUCCUUCGUCACCACUCUGCUUGGAUGCCUUUGUAGUGAUGGGAGAAAACAUCUAUGUGAUGCCAAAGAACAUCCUGCGGUUGGAAAAUCACAGGCGUGUCUGCAACCCUCCAGCGGAGACAGAGUGAUUCAGAGGCCCUCAGAUGGUGAUGGAAAACAGAGAACCAGACUUCAGGUGUAAACUGGAGAGAACUUUUCUGCCAGCGAGGCGUCCUUUGAGGUGGUUGCAGCUCAAAAGAGUUGAAAUGAGAAGAGCCAGAGUUUGACUAGAAGCCAAAAAAAGACCAGCUGAGGUCAGUUAACCUACCACGCUGCAUGUGGGAGAUCUAUGAUCGGGCACCGUCGCUGCCUGCUCUGAAAUAGUGUAAUUGAAGGGAUACAGUCUUCAAAGGUAUCCUUGCCUGAAUGGCAGCUUCUAGGGCUCGCUAGGCACUGCUGAUGGAGGAUUCAGAAAAAUGCUGCAACUGGUGAGAGAAAUCAUGCUACUCAUGUAACAAACUAGUGUUCAGGGAGGGAGUCCUUGUGGAGGGAUAGAAAAAGUAUGGAGAGGCAGACCAAGAUGCUCAAACGUAUGAAAGCAGCAGCUGAAUAGAGUUGGACUUCUCAUCCUGUCAGUGAUGGAGUACCAUGACAGGGACAAAAAAUCGUGGGUCUAAGCUUCUUGGCGACUUGAAGGUGACUUCCAGUUUUGUUAUUAUUCUUAGCUGACAUUCAGAUACCCAAAAACUUGAGGAAACAUUCUGGACU